rnacentral:rRNA from 1 species
UACGAGAGACCCGAACGUUAUUCGGAAUUACUGGGCUUACAGAGUUCGUAGGCGGCUCAGCAAGUUGGGUGUGAAAUCCCUCGGCUCAACCGAGGAAUUGCGCUCAAAACUACUGAGCUUGAGGGGUAUAGAGGUAAGCGGAACUGAUGGUGGAGCGGUGAAAUGCGUUGAUAUCAUCAGGAACACCGGUGGCGAAGGCGGCUUACUGGGUACCUCCUGACGCUGAGGAACGAAAGCUAGGGGAGCGAACGGG